GGAAAAGAAACCAACAGGGAUUGCCUCAGUAACGGCGAGUGAAGCGGCAACAGCUCAAAUUUGAAAUCUGGCCUCUUCGGGGUCCGAGUUGUAAUUUGUAGAGGAUGUUUCGGGUACCGCCCCGGUCUAAAUUUCUUGGAACAGAAUGUCAAAGAGGGUGAGAAUCCCGUCUUGGACCGGCGGUAGGGCCUAUGUGAAACUCCUUCGACGAGUCGAGUUGUUUGGGAAUGCAGCUCAAAAUGGGUGGUAUAUUUCAUCUAAAGCUAAAUAUUGGCCAGAGACCGAUAGCGCACAAGUAGAGUGAUCGAAAGAUGAAAAGCACUUUGAAAAGAGAGUUAAACAGUACGUGAAAUUGUUGAAAGGGAAGCGCUUGCAAUCAGACUUGAGCGCGGCGGUUCCCCCUUCCUUUUGGCUGGGUUAUUCCGCCGUGUCCAGGCCAACAUCGGUUCUGGGGGUCGGUUAAAGGCUCUGGGAAUGUAUCUUCCUUCGGGUUGACUUAUAGCCCAGGGUGUCAUGCGACCUCCCGGGACCGAGGAACGCGCUUCGGCUCGGAUGUUGGCGUAAUGGUUGUCA
rnacentral:rRNA from 1 species